UUAAAGAGUAGUUUAAUGGGGAAAAACAAAGAACUUUGACUUCUUUACUAUAGGUUCAAUUCCUAUCUCUUUAAG
rnacentral:tRNA from 1 species